CAUGGUGAUGGCUUGCUUUCUGGCAUGCUAGUUACGUUUUCAAGGGAGUCUGACUCAGCCACGUAUGCGAGAUAGAAGCUGGCAAGUCUUGAUGGGAGAUUGGCUCCCACAUGU